rnacentral:rRNA from 1 species
UACGGGGGGGGCAAGCGUUGUUCGGAUUCACUGGGUUUAAAGGGUGCGUAGGUGGGUCUGUAAGUCCGUGGUGAAAUCUCCGAGCUUAACUUGGAAACUGCCAUGGAUACUAUAGGUCUUGAAUACUGUGGAGGUCAGCGGAAUAUGUCAUGUAGCGGUGAAAUGCUUAGAUAUGACAUAGAACACCAAUUGCGAAGGCAGCUGGCUACACAAAUAUUGACACUGAGGCACGAAAGCGUGGGGAUCAAACAGG